rnacentral:rRNA from 1 species
AUGGGCGCAAGCCUGAUGCAGCCUGCCGCGUGAGUGAUGAAGGCCUUCGGGUUGUAAAGCUCUUUUGUCCGGGAAGAAGAUGACUGUACCGAAGAAGAAGCGCCGGCAAACUUCGUGCCAGCAGCCCCGGUAAUA